rnacentral:lncRNA from 1 species
GGCACUUGGAGGGUAUGGAAAGUUAACCUAUCAUUUUUUUUCUCAACUCCCCACAGCUCUGAUGUCUUAGUCUGGCUUCUGGAAGUAUGUAUGUGGCAUGGGAGGAAGAGGAGGCUCAAGCCGGUGUUGCGUCUCCCAAAGUGCAACCUUCCGCUAGACUGCUGGUCCAUGCAGCAUCUCCUUGUUGGGAUUCUAUUCCACCUUUUGCUGCAAACAUGGGAUUGUUGCGUGUCACAUGUCUGUUUACAUUCCAGCACAGAUUGCUGGCGUAAGCGGAACUUCCGCUCUGUAUAGCUUUUGUUUUUAGCUCUCUCUCUGAGAAGACGGCAAGGAGAGGCAACAUGUUUCUUUGUCCUGAUUUAUGUUUAAUAAAUGCGUAGCUUAGUAUGUAUCUACAGCCUCAAGCCUCUUCUGUUGCGCAGUAUACACUGCUGAGAAAAGUGUGCUGAAGUCUGCAAGCUUGAGUGGCUGUUGUACGUCAGAGCAAGAGGUCGAUGAAUCUCCGCAGCGGCAAGGCUGAGAGGGAGAUGUUUCAGCUGGGGCCGAGCCAGCUGGCCUUUUGACCCCCUUACGCCGACACUCCCGUCACUGCUCAGCUCAGUGCAACCUCGCCACACUUAUCCGUGUGGCAUCUCCCAAUGCUGCUCAGGAUGUGCUGGUUCCACGGUGUCUCCCAAUGCUCUCCUGAGACCAUGGAGGAGAGGGAGGACAACAGACAAAGGUAGGAGGGGGAUGGAGGGAGCGGGGCAAGCAGGUGAGGAAAGGGUCAGCAACAGAGAGGAGGUGAGCGAUGGCAUCGUCAGGAGGGCAGGAGGUGCCCCAAAUUGUCCUCCCUAAAUGUUGAAGGGGGGUGGGUAUGACUUUCACCUUCGGCUUCAAAUUUGCUCCAAGUCAAACAGUAAGUAAAAACUGAAUUAAGCAGCCAGUGAACACACACACACACACACACACACACACACAGCCCUCUGAAAUUGUGUUUGUGAUGGAACCUCAGCAGAUUGGGUGACUUCCUAUAUUAAACUCUGUGACUGCACUGAAUUUGCAGGGAAAACAAAUCGAUAUAAUACUCCUUAUAAUGACUAUGCUUUUUUGUGUAAGUCAACAAAUCUCCUAUUAAUUAACCAGUGAUUAAAGUCAGCUUGUGAAAAUUAAUCACAGCCUGG